rnacentral:rRNA from 1 species
CAUGUAGGCGGCUUAAUAAGUCGAGCGUGAAAAUGCGGGGCUCAACCCCGUAUGGCGCUGGAAACUGUUAGGCUUGAGUGCAGGAGAGAAAAGGGGAAUUCCCAGUGUAGCGGUGAAAUGCGUAGAUAUUGGGAGGAACACCAGUGGCGAAGGCGCCUUUCUGGACUGUGUCUGACGCUGAGAUGCGAAAGCCAGGGUAGCGAACG